GACGAACGCUGGCGGCGUGCCUAAUACAUGCAAGUAGAACGAGUUGCGAACGGGUGAGUAAUGUAUCGGAACGUGCCCAGUAGCGGGGGAUAACUACGCGAAAGCGUAGCUAAUACCGCAUACCAUCGGAUGUGCCCAGAUGGGAUUAGCUAGUAGGUGGGGUAACGGCUCACCUAGGCGACGAUCCCUAGCUGGUCUGAGAGGCUGACCAGCCACACUGGAACUGAGACACGGUCCAGACUCCUACGGGAGGCAGCAGUGGGGAAUAUUGCACAAUGGGCGCAAGCCUGAUGCAGCCAUGCCGCGUGUAUGAAGAAGGCCUUCGGGUUGUAAAGUACUUUCAGCGAGGAGGCGUUACUCGCAGAAGAAGCACCGGCUAACUCCGUGCCAGCCGCCGCGGUAAUAC
rnacentral:rRNA from 1 species